UGGGGAAUAUUGCACAAUGGGCGCAAGCCUGAUGCAGCCAUGCCGCGUGUAUGAAGAAGGCCUUCGGGUUGUAAAGUACUUUCAGCGGGGAGGAAGGCGUUGUGGUUAAUAACCACAGCGAUUGACGUUACCCGCAGAAGAAGCACCGGCUAACUCCGUGCCAGCAGCCGCGGUAAUACGGAGGGUGCAAGCGUUAAUCGGAAUUACUGGGCGUAAAGCGCACGCAGGCGGUCUGUUAAGUCAGAUGUGAAAUCCCCGGGCUCAACCUGGGAACUGCAUUUGAAACUGGCAGGCUUGAGUCUCGUAGAGGGGGGUAGAAUUCCAGGUGUAGCGGUGAAAUGCGUAGAGAUCUGGAGGAAUACCGGUGGCGAAGGCGGCCCCCUGGACGAAGACUGACGCUCAGGUGCGAAAGUGUGGGGAGCAAACA
rnacentral:rRNA from 1 species